UACGAAGGGGGCUAGCGUUGCUCGGAAUCACUGGGCGUAAAGCGCACGUAGGCGGAUCUUUAAGUCGGUGGUGAAAUCCUGGAGCUCAACUCCAGAACUGCCUUCGAUAUUGAGGAUCUCGAGUCCGGGAGAGGUGAGUGGAACUGCGAGUGUAGAGGUGAAAUUCGUAGAUAUUCGCAAGAACACCAGUGGCGAAGGCGGCUCACUGGCCCGGUACUGACGCUGAGGUGCGAAAGCGUGGGGAGCAAACAGG
rnacentral:rRNA from 1 species